ACACUAUGCGAAGGAUUGGAAAUGUCAUAAUCAUUCCUCAUGAAGCUGGUCAGAAGUUUAGCUCAUGGUGUAAGGGGAGUGUUGCCUUGGAAGACCUAACUCUAGCUGUGUGGGCGCUGUCCAAGUCAUGCGGGUUGGGACAGGACGGAUAAAUGAGCGUCCUCAUGUCAUCCGUGUCAGACUCUCGUCCCUCCACCCUGCCGCUCCUCCCUUCCCCCCUCCAAGCCAUCCUGUGAGGCCCUGGGUAGCUGGCACCUCUUCUCCAAGCUUUCCCAGACAACCUAGCCCUUAGAAAGCUCAUCCAGCCCUGAACACUUCCAGUCCUCGUUGCCUGAGAUGUUUAUCGACAUCCGUCCCUGCCGUGUGCCAGACCUCUCAUGGGGCCGGCACCAAGGCCAUGCUGGUUGAAUGACACUGAUAAAUGGCACAGCUUCUGGCAUGCUCCAUUUCCAGUUCACUUCUAUUCACUGUUUUUUUUGGAUUAUCCAGCCCAUGAAGGCCCACAGACCAGGUCUUGGGACAUCUGUGCAGCCUUAGCCUUUCCUGCAGAUGGAGGUAGGAACAUCACUUUCUAACAAAGAAGAGCUUAUGUUAGCAGAGCUCUGGGAGAAAGAUUUCUUCAGGAGGAACCAUGUACCUGGACCCUGGAACAUCUUCCCAACGCUGCCUGCAACUCUUGGGGGGGAGGGUGCCUCUCUCAUCCCACUGUGGGCCUGUGGUUUUCUUCUGCACCUCCACCCGAGCUGCUUCCCAGGACACAGCCUCCUUCCCCGUGUCUGCCCACCGAAGCAGAGGGGGCUACACUCAAAAGACGUCCACUUUCACCGAGCAAGCCACCCACGGGGCAAAAAUGAAUGUUCCACGGGGAUGAGAAAGCAGAAGGCUUUAUCUCUUGUAGCAAAAAGCACAAAUUUAGGAACAAGCAAGCUGGGGCUGGAUUACCCUUGAGACUUAAUGACCAGAACUAAGAUCUGGAGCGUCUACCGAGGGUUUUCAUCACCUUGCCUGACAGUUGGAUGCCUCUCAGCUCAAGGAGGUCACUGAAGUGAAACUGAAGGCUGUUUUUCACUCGUGUCUCGUUGGAAGCUGGCGGGCCGCUCACCUGCUCCACUUGGCUGCCUCUUGCCUGCCUCUCUGCUCAAACACUGUCUUGGCUUGGCAGCACUACAAGACAGAAUAAAAACAUACACUUCUACCCA
rnacentral:lncRNA from 12 species